GGGGCGUGUCCGAGGCCGCCGCCCGCCCACCUCCGCUGCCCGGGCCGCGCGGUGCAGCCGCUGCUGGGAGUGAGCGCGUGCGGGCGGUGCUAACGGCCCGGAGCUGCACGCUGCGCACGGAUGAGGCGGGAAAGCUGGAACGGGGCGCGGAACGAAGCCGCGUCUCAGCUGGGUCUGCUUCCUGACAAACCGAGGUUCAUACUGGAGACUUUUCAAAUAGCCUUGAGAUAAAUAGGAAAAGGAGCCUUUUUUCCUGAAGUCAGUACAUUAUACCAGGCAUUCCAUCAUGAAGUUUCUCUUCAGGGAACAGGAGUUCAAACUAUUCAGCACCCCUUCUUUUACAUGACCUGCUUUAAAUCUGUUACAAUGCAGCAUGCUCAAAGAGGACAUUAUUGUUGUUGGCUCUAGCAUGUCAAAACAACAGUCUUGAAAACUUGUGUCUAAAGAUGUGGCAUCACUUUCUUGAACAACAGAGCAGAGAUCAAGCAUCCUGGAGGAAGCCUUUGAUUUCUCUGCACCCACUGCCACCUGAAACAGCACUGUGGGUCCUUACACCUCCCUGAGUCAAUCCUUCCAUUUCCGGAGGUACUACAAUUGGUCCCUUCUCAACUGGUAACUACUUACGGAGACUUAAUGAAUGUAUUAUUUCGCAAGACGGCAUGUUUAUCUUGUGAGGAUGUGAAAGGAGAAAAGAGGGAAACAGUUUUUCUGUGUAUUCUCUUGCCAUCCACUGAAGAGCUUUCCCUGAAAUGAAAGUGAACCCUCUGCCAGGUCAGUAUUUCCUCUGCAUGUUGCACUCAGGUGCAUGUCACAGAGAUAGUGUCCAUCCAAACAAAACAUAUUUGUUAAAACAGCUCAGAAAUUAUAUGGCCAUUAGGACUGUACACAUAAGAAGAUGUCUAGGCCUGUACAGAAACUUCAAGUUUUAGAGCUGAUUUAAUUUCACUGAAUGUUUAAUCAUUUAUAGAGAAAGCCCAAUAUUUGUUCCCUUAAGCUUAAAAUACUAAUUACUGACUUCCUAGUUUGAUAUAACUAAAAUAUAUAUUGUUUUCCAAAUGCUAUUAAAAUGGCCUUUCAUUUUUGCAGUCAUAAGAAUUAGUUUGGGAACUCAUUUGUUCAAAGCUUCAGAUUCAGCUGAGUAAAAAACUGAGUUUAUCCCCUGUGCUUUAAUGAACCUGACUAGAGCAUGCUGCAAGGACAUGAGCUUCUGGUCCAUAAUUUCAUUAGCAGACUGUACCCGCUAUAAUGGACGGACUAAUUCAUUAUUCCUAAUAGUCUGUUUUUGGUGUUCUGUAGUGAAACAAAUUACACAACCAUGAUUCAAGCACAACACAGUAAAAGACAAGGCCAAAAUAAAAGCAGUGAUGGAACCAUUUCUGAACUAAGAACAUUUUGAAUUACUAAGGGAUGGAAGACUUUGGCAGCUAGAUGGGUAAAGCAGGCUCACUAGUUGUCUAAAGGAGCUUGAAGAUGUACCAGAAUUAAUUCAAUAGAAGUCAUGUAGCAACAGAUACUGAUUUUAUUUUAUUGUAUACCAACUACUCCUGUUUUUAGAAUGUUAACUUCCUUCCUUCAGAUCUGAGGGGGGAAAUUUUCACAAAGCUAAAGUAUGUCUCUUAUUCUUUUCUUUAGUAAGCCUUAUAUUUUAUGAGAUUAUACAAUUGAUACAAUUAUAGUAGAAUAAAGUGGGUUUUAUCCAGAGGCCAUUAUUUUAUUUCUCAUUGCUUGAACAUUUUGCUUACAUUUCCUUUCUGAAAUCCAUUGACAAUUCAGGGCAGUAACUCACAGAAAAAGAAUUGGUACCACACAUAACCGGGCUCUAAACUACAGUGUUUGUCUAUUAGUAACACAAUGUAGUAUUUGGUACUAAAAUGAUAAAGGUAUUUGGAUGUACCACAAAGUUAUGUUGAAAGGCUUUUGCUAAAUAAGGAUUAAAAGGCAAAAAUACCUUGAAAUACCUCUCCUGCAUGUAUCUGAAGAUAAUCCACAGCAUAAUCUGUCAUGGCAUGCAACUGAAAUCCACUAAACCCAUAGGCUGAGAGUCCUCAGCAGGACACAGUUCCCUGCUUGGUGCAGGCAUGCUUGGUUCUGCCGCAGGGUGGAAAGCUUGCCUUGCUUCCCUCCCUUCCUCCUUAAGUCCUCAAGGGAAGGGAGGAUGUCUGCCAAGAGAGGAGGGAAGGAAUAUGAAAUGAGAAAGGAAUCCAGCUAUUACUGUAGAAACAAGUGUGGUUUUUAAAAAAGUCAAUUAACACAGAAAAGUUUAACAUUUGGAAAUGUGUCAGUUUUUCCAGUCUCUUCAUGUCACUCUACAUAUGUGGGCUACACUGCCUAGCAGUUUUGAGAGAAUAAUAAAAGUGACUCCAAAAAACAGGUGCAAAUAAGUCCAAAAAAUUAAGGCAAACCGUGAAACGAGGCAAUACAGGGCAGCAGCAAUAGGCUGAAAACAUGAAUUGUAAUGCGAGUAUCACCCUCUGUGCCACUCUGCCAUUAGAUGUACCAAGGAAAUAUUGUUAGAAUAGAACAGAACAGAAUUUAUGGCUGGGAAUCAAUUUGCCCUCAAGUUUAUUUACUCUGUUGUUCUGCCAGUAGUGAAAGGACACCUUGUCCUGCCACAACGGCAGCUACUCAUGCCACGCUUCAGACACUUUUCUCGUUGGCCUGUCUGGCCUUGAAUAGUGUGAAUUAGCUUGUGGCCAGAAACUCUUCUCCUAUCAAUUUGUCAUUAGCCCCUAUGUCAUACAGCUAGGAAGGCAUGGCAGGAGAGACUGGUAAUGGAGACAUCAUCAGAACUAGUAUGAACAAAGCACAGAAGGCUUUAGCAAGAGGAAUUCUGCAUCCCUGAAGUUGUGUCCUGUAAUUUUUUUCUGUGGCUAGUACUUGUUUUCUGAUAGGUUGAGAUACAAUUCAUGAUUUUUAUCAGAGGAAAUAAACACAAACUAUAUGUUAUCAUCUGACAUUGCUGAAAACUAUACAGCUGGAAAGACUUGAAGUAGUAACCAAACUAUGCGAAAUGGGUGAUUAACAAAAGUGGAUCUUAAUGGAAUGUUUAUGUAAUCAUCCAGACUGUGUUUCCUAUUUUUUUUAGAAUUUUGACUCUAUCAAAUCUUGCUUUUUGUAGCUAUUUGUAUUUCUCCUAUGUUUACAUUCCUGGCAGCAAUAGGCUUAUGUCUUAGGAUGCUGGGCGGUAUAUGUGAUCAUUUCUGUGCCUCUAAAACCUCCUACUUCCAGAGAGAUCACAGAAUGCUGGAAUAUCAAAUUAGCAAUUAUAAAGCUGCUAAUGGAGCUCUUGGACUGGAUGAUUUUCAGAGGUCCCUUCCAUCCCCUACAGUUCUGUGAUUCUGUAAUCACAACAGUGGAUUGACUCUCUUUAGCCCAGCAAAGUUCAUCUCCUUGUGCUUCCUCUACAGCCAAGAAGAAAUUUCUACAAUGCAAUUCAGAGCAAAAACCAAAGAUUUAAAGUUAAGAUGUAAGUGCUGAUUAUGAUUCUAUAGAGUAGGUCUGACUAUAGAGGGGCUCAA